AGCGAACGCUGGCGGCAGGCUUAACACAUGCAAGUCGAGCGGGCACUUCGGUGUCAGCGGCAGACGGGUGAGUAACACGUGGGAACGUACCCUUUGGUUCGGAAUAACGCUGGGAAACUAGCGCUAAUACCGGAUACGCCCUUUUGGGGAAAGGCUUGCUGCCGAAGGAUCGGCCCGCGUCUGAUUAGCUAGUUGGUGGGGUAAUGGCCUACCAAGGCGACGAUCAGUAGCUGGUCUGAGAGGAUGAUCAGCCACACUGGGACUGAGACACGGCCCAGACUCCUACGGGAGGCAGCAGUGGGGAAUAUUGGACAAUGGGCGCAAGCCUGAUCCAGCCAUGCCGCGUGAGUGAUGUAGGCCUUAGGGUUGUAAAGCUCUUUUGUCCGGGACGAUAAUGACGGUACCGGAAGAAUAAGCCCCGGCUAACUUCGUG
rnacentral:rRNA from 1 species